ACAGUAUAAAAAAAUGUUUACAAAUAUCUUAACUUGCAACGUGUGACACGCUACACAUCAGUGUUGUCCAUCUUUAAUCGAGAAAUGCAUUCAGAACAUUUUAUGAAGUAUUGGCAGGCUGUACCUGACGUCUUACUUUCUUGCAACGAAAUCAAAAGAACUACAAACCAAUUAAAUUAAUUUUUA